GAGUUUGAUCCUGGCUCAGGAUGAACGCUAGCGGCAGGCUUAAUACAUGCAAGUCGAGGGGCAGCACGAAUAGCAAUAUUUGGUGGCGACCGGCGCACGGGUGCGUAACACGUAUACAAUCUACCUUAAACAGGGGGAUAGCCUUUCGAAAGAGAGAUUAAUACCCCGUAAUAAAUUGAAUGGCAUCAUUUGAUUUUGAAAGCUCCGGCGGUUUAAGAUGAGUAUGCGUCUGAUUAGCUAGUAGGUGAGGUAACGGCUCACCUAGGCUACGAUCAGUAGGGGAUCUGAGAGGACUAACCCCCACACUGGUACUGAGACACGGACCAGACUCCUACGGGAGGCAGCAGUAAGGAAUAUUGGUCAAUGGAGGCAACUCUGAACCAGCCAUGCCGCGUGCAGGAUGAAGGCCCUAUGGGUCGUAAACUGCUUUUAUACCAGAGAAAACCUCAGUACGUGUACUGAGCUGAUAGUAUGGUAAGAAUAAGCAUCGGCUAACUUCGUGCCAGCAGCCGCGGUAAGACGAAGGAUGCAAGCGUUAUCCGGAUUCAUUGGGUUUAAAGGGUGCGUAGGCGGACCAGUAAGUCAGUGGUGAAAUCUCUUU
rnacentral:rRNA from 1 species